GUACCUGGGUUUUAGGUGAGAUGAAACGGAGGUGUAUCCGGAAGUGACAUGGUUCCAAGCGAACAGAAUUUUAACGUCUCUCUUUCGCGAAAAACCUGCGGUGGAAAAACGUCGAUAAAGAAACUAUUCAAAACAUUUCAGUAAACUUGCGAAGGGAUUUGACCAGGCAGUAUGACCUCCUGCACUGGCCUGGCACACUGCAAAGUGGCGUUGGCAUUAGCGGUCAUUUUUGACCUAGUGGGAGUGAUGGUGUUGCUUGCGGGAGUCUUCGUUCCUCUGGAGGUGAAAGGCAAAGACUUUGGUGACUUUUUGGUGUACACAGGAGUUCUUCUGGUGCUGAUGUCCCUUGGCUGCUGGGUGAUGUGGUACAGCGGCAACAUUGACGGCCUGACUACAAGCAAGGAGAUGGGCCACAUCGGCAACGCAGUGGACCGCAUUGCGCGCAGGCUCAGCCGCAAAAUGCGCACCCACCGCAGCCAUCAGGUUCCCUAAAGCAGAUCGGCAGAAAUUCUCAGAAAGCUGCCUAGGUUUCAUGAUAAGUCUGAAAGAAACCCAACCAAGCAGGUCAAGAACUGAACAUCAUUCAGCUGUUACAUGUGAAUAUUACAUAUCACCUGAGAAUAUUUAGGUGUACAAGUUAUCUGUAUUUUACAACGGUAUUGGCACAUACUGACCUGCGUUAUGUUGUUACGUAUCGUUCUAUUUCAAUUGCAGUAAAUGUUUUCAUACUUUCAUUUAGAACACUUUGCAUUUCAGUCUGUUUCUUGUGUUUUGACCUUUUGACCUAGUUGCACAUUAUUGUUGCUCUUCUACAGUAUCUGAGAGGAGAUGGAUUUUAGAAAGCUCUUUAAAUAAAUAAAUAAAUAAAUAAAUAAAUAAAAGCUUCUUUAUUUCAAGCCACUGUUAAAGCCCGCCUGCAAAAUAUAGAAUGUAUAUAGACACAAUAUUUUUUUAAUGCUGUAUUUUCUUUGAGUGCUCAGUUGAUUUGAGAAAUUUUGCCGAAUAAAGUGUUGCGCAAGAUUGA